CAACAAUUUUGUGAUCUCCAUGAAUAUGUAGGGGAAAGGUGGAAAUAUGCUUUAAGACAACUAAUUUAUAUGGUGUAGUGAAAGUUCAUGUAAUUUUUUCAAAAUUGAAUAUGCGGAAUGGAGCUGUUUGGAAUAAAGAUUUACAAAGAAGUAAUUCUAUCUAAUUGGAUUAGUGAUAAAACUGUCGGCUUCCAGGUACCAAAGCAUUGACUGCACUAAAAUGCAGAGAAGAAUUGGCUUAAGUUUAUACAAAUAAAAACUAAAUUCUCUUUAGAGUAUUUUCGAAAAGUUUUAUGG